rnacentral:rRNA from 1 species
AGUGAACGCUGGCGGUAGGCCUAACACAUGCAAGUCGAACGGUAGAAGUUAGCAAUAACUUCGUGAGUGGCGCACGGGUGCGUAACACGUAUGCAACCUACCCUUAACUGGGAAAUAGCUCGGAGAAAUUCGGAUUAAUGUCCCAUAGUAAAUUUGAAAAGCAUUUUUUGGAUUUUAAAACUACGGUGGUUAAGGAUGGGCAUGAGUUCUAUUAGAUAGAUGGUAAGGUAACGGCUUACCAUGGCUACGAUAGAGAGGGGGCAUGAGAGGGUUAUCCCCCACACUGGUACUGAGACACGGACCAGACUCCUGCGGGAGGCAGCAGUGGGGAAUAUUGGACAAUGGUCGGAAGACUGAUCCAGCCAUGCCGCGUGCAGGAAGACGGCCCUAUGGGUUGUAAACUGCUUUUAUUAAGGAAGAAACCCCUCUUCGUGAAGAGGGCUGACGGUACUUUUUGAAUAAGCACCGGCUAACUCCGUGCCAGCAGCCGCCGCCG